GCAGCAUCGGGUAGUCUCACUGCCAAAGGGAGGCCUGCCAUGAAAAUGGUUAUGUUCCAUAUUUUGAUUGGCUAUUUUGAGAGGCGUAUUGCCUUUACUUAUGGGAGUAUUAGUUUGUUUACCUCUGGCUGAAAUUAUGUGACAAAGUUUUGUUUUAUUUUUUAACAAUAUAUAUUUAACACAGCUUUGAAAUGUUGUGGCACUGUAUCACUAAAAGAAUUCUAAAUGGUUUCAAGCGUACAUGUAACAGUACAACAUGCUUUCAAACUUAAGUGGCAAUAACCAAACAUGUUUUAUGUUGUUGUUCAAAGGCCUUGUUGGAUUUGUUGAAUAUAUAAGGAACUUUGAUUUACAAUACAUUACCUCAAAAAUACAGCCAAAAAUAAAUUCAAGAGGCCAACAUUUUUAUAUACAGAAGCCUACAUUUUUAGAAAUAAGUAUAAAAAUCUUCACUGAAAAUUACCGAGGUGGCUUCUAUGCACAGAACACAGGCCAAGUGAUCUGUGAGUCAAAGAAGCACAGCCCUGUUGUAUCUCAGAGACGAGUGACCAUGUUUUUCACACGAUAGGAUUGGUUUGUUAUGACAGCCAAGGUUAAAAUGAUUCAUAACUGAAACUGAAUGGAUUCGAAGAAAUAAACAUUGUUCAGAAAAUCCCCUCUGCAUAUUAUUGUCUUUUAAAGGAUACAUAUUAGCAGGUGUAUUUAUUUGUCUUUUAAAGGAUACAUAUUAGCAGGUGUAUUGUAUCCCUUGGAUAAACAAACAUGACAUAACGACAGUGAAUAAUUGCAUUGUAUGCAUACACAGUGCUGUUUUUCAUAACAAUAGAAACAGUCAGUACUUUAUCGUUGCCAGUAUUUCAGUGAUUAUACAUUGGUAAUAUGAUUCAUAUUCAAUGCAACAAAGCCUUGUGAGUUGUGAGACCCUUACAGUUCAUGAUUCAUAUAUAGCGGGUAAAAUAAGUAUUGAACACGUCACCAUUCUUCUCAGUAAAUAUAUUUCCAAAGGUGCUAUUGAAAUCUUCACCAGUUGUUGGUAACAACCCAAGUAAUCCAUACAUACAAAGAAACCAAAACAAAUUCAGAAAUUAAGUUAUGUGUAAUGUGAAAUGAAACAGGGAAAAAGUAUUGAACACGCUUACGGAUAUUUAUUUGUACAAAAGCCUUUGUUGGUAAUGACAGCUUUGAGACACCUCCUGUAUGGAGAAACUAGUCGUUUGCAUUGCUCAGGUGUGAUUUUGGCAGAUCUUGAAGAUUCUGUGGGCCUCUUCUAUGAACUCUGAUCUUCAGUACUUCCCAUAGAUUUUCAAUUGGAUUCUACUCUAGCAGCUUUAUUUCUUUCUCUGAAACCAAUUCAGAGUUCCCUUGGUUGUGUGUUUGGGAUCAUUGUCUUGCUGAAAUGUCCACCCUCGUUUCAUCUUCAUUAUCCUGGUAGUUGGCAACAGAUUUUUAUCAAGAAUGUCUCGGUACAUUUUUUUAUGUGAAAUUUGCCAGUACCGUAUGCUGAAAAGCAACCCCACACCAUGAUGUCCCCACCUCCAAACUUCACUGUUGGUAUGGUGUUUUUAGGUUUAGGUUUUAGCAGUGCCAUUUGUCCUCCAAACAUGGUGUGUAUUAUGGCAUCCAAAGAGUUUCAUUUAACCCUAACCCUGACCCGAGUUUCAUCUGACCAGACUAUACUCUCCCAGUAUUUCACAGGCUUGUCCAAAUCUUGUGCAGCAAACUUUAAACGAGCUUCAACAUGCUUUUUCUUCAGCAAUGGAGUCUUGCGUGGUGAGCGUGCAUACAGGCCAUGACGGUUGAGUGCAUUACUUAUUGUUUUAUUUGAAACAAUUGUACCUGCUAAUUCCAGGUCUUUCUGAAGCUCUCCGCAAGUGGUCCUUGGCUCUUGGACAAAUCUGAUAAUUCUUUUCACUCCUCUGUCAGAAAUCUUGCGAGGAGCACUUGGUCAUGGGCAGUUUAUGGUGAAAUGAUGUUCUUUCCACUUCCGGAUUAUGAUAUUAAUUUGCACUGACAAGGGGCCGGAUUGCUUUCUAAUUACUGAUAGAUUUCAGCUGAUUUCAACUUUCCAUGCCUUUUUGCACCUCCCUUUCUUCAUGUGUUCAAUACUUUUUCCCUGUCAUUUCAAAUUAUUACUGUAAUAUAAUUUCU
ensembl:lncRNA